rnacentral:rRNA from 1 species
UACGGGGGGGGCAAGCGUUGUUCGGAAUUACUGGGCGUAAAGCGCGCGUAGGCGGCUUUGCAAGUCGGGUGUGAAAUCCCCAGGCUUAACCUGGGAACUGCAUUCGAGACUGCAUUGCUAGAGUAUGGGAGAGGGAAGUGGAAUUUCCGGUGUAGCGGUGAAAUGCGUAGAUAUCAAGUGGAACACCAGUGGCGAAGGCGAGUCUCUGGACAUUUCCUGACGCUGAGGCACGAAAGCCAGGGGAGCAAACGGG